rnacentral:piRNA from 1 species
UAUGAAGAUUGGUGUGGGAAGGGUCCUAA